UGGAGUGUAGUGGCCCAAUCUCAGUUCACUGCAACCUCCACCUCCCAGGUUCAAGCAAUUCUCCUGCCUCAGGCAACCAAGUAGCUGGUGCUACAGGCAGGCACCACCACGCCUGGCUAAUUUUUGUAUUUUUAGUAGAGAUGGGGUUUCACUGUGUUGGCCAGGAUGGUCUCUAUCUCUGGACCUCGUGAUCCACCCGCCUCGGCCUCCCAAAGUGCUGGGAUUACAGGCGUGAGCCACCGUGUUCUGACUUUUAAAGGCCACUCCUCCAAUUCUAGAUUCUGUCUAAUAGGUCCAGAUUCCACUGUGAGAGUAGAAAAGAUUGCACUCUAUUACAAACCCUUCUGUACAAUUUUAAUCACAUUCAUGUAUUACUCUAAAAAAGUUUUUUAAAGAAAAAUCAUUGAACUCCAAGUGUUUAUAUACUGAGGUUGAAUUAAAUGGUUUUUUGUAUUUUCUAAAUUUCUAGUAAAAAGAUAUUCAGCCGGGCACGGUAGUUCAUGCCUAUAAUCCCAGCACUUGGGGAGGCU
rnacentral:lncRNA from 1 species